rnacentral:rRNA from 1 species
UACGGAGGGUGCAAGCGUUUGUCCGGAAUCACUGGGCGUAAAGGGCGCGUAGGCGGCUCAUGAAGGCUGUGGUGAAAUCCCGAGGCUCAACCUCGGGCCUGCAGUCGAUACGGGCAAACUAGAGUGUGGUAGGGGAGACUGGAAUUCCUGGUGUAGCGGUGAAAUGCGCAGAUAUCAGGAGGAACACCGGCGGCGAAGGCGGGUCUCUGGGCCAUAACUGACGCUGAGGAGCGAAAAGCGUGGGGAGCGAACAGG